CCGUCAGAUUGCAAUUCCCAUUGUAAACAUCUCAACCAUCUUCCCUCUGUCGUCUGCUCACGUUUAAGAGUGCAGACACAGAAGGUGAAGAAGUACGUGAAUCCAUCCAUCCAUGGCUUCACUUGGUGAGAUGAUGAAAUCUUCAAUUUCUUUCUUCCAACACACCUCGUUUGCCCCAAACCACGCCGUCUUGGAACGGUUCAUCCUUUCAUCAAUGAACAGAUCUGGUGUUCUAGAUCUCAAAUCAACUAUUUUGAUGAGGAUAUAUGUGAAUCGAAUGGUUUGGAGGUUAUGGAUUUAAUCAUUUCUAAGG